GCUCAAGUGACCGAUGUGAAAUGUGUUAUGACGGAGAACAUUGAGAAUGUCUGAAUCAUAUAUCCAUGUCAAUCUCACAAUUUUAUAUCAUUCAUUUGAGAAUACAUGUCAUAUACGACUUGAGUUUUCUCUGCUCCUUUCACACUUUUGCGAAACUGACUGAGGUUUAUGUAAUUCAUUAACUUGCAGGGUCUUCUUGACUGCAGUGAUUGAAAAAUUGAGCUUCUAGUGGACAAAAUCCGAGAACCUUUGUUCACAGGCACAAGAUUUCAGAGGGCCAGGAACGAAAAUGACAAGAAAGAUGUGGUUUCAGAACAUGAGGAUUAAGGUCAUAGUCCUCUCGGUUUGUCAUGGCUUCAAGUGUGCUUAAUAAUUUGAAAGAAGAAGAAGAAGAUUACGUUGAGGAAUUAUACCAAGCUGAUGGGAAACUCUGCCCGAGGUAUACGCCCUUCUUUUUUUGUUCUGUUUUCGUGGUCUCUUUUUUUUUUAGUUUUUAUAGGUUUUUCAUUUGAUUUUGUUAGGGAUAAUGAAAUAUGAUCCUUUAGGGUAUGAAUAUAUUUGGAAAGAGAUUUAAGCU